CUGGGCCUACGGGGCGCAGCAGUGGGGAAUAUUGCACAAUGGGGGAAACCCUGAUGCAGCGACGCCGCGUGAGUGAAGAAGUAAUUCGUUAUGUAAAGCUCUAUCAGCAGGGAAGAAAAUGACGGUACCUGAGUAAGAAGCCCCGGCUAACUACGUGCCAGCAGCCGCGGUAAUACGUAGGGGGCAAGCGUUAUCCGGAUUUACUGGGUGUAAAGGGAGCGUAGACGGCAGUGCAAGUCUGGAGUGAAAUGCGGGGGCCCAACCCCCGGACUGCUCUGGAAACUGUAUGACUUGAGUGCAGGAGC
rnacentral:rRNA from 1 species